GGCGAACGGGUGAGUAACACGUGAGUAACCUGCCCUUAACUCUGGGAUAAGCCUGGGAAACUGGGUCUAAUACCGGAUAUGACUCCUCAUCGCAUGGUGGGGGGUGGAAAGCUUUUUGUGGUUUUGGAUGGACUCGCGGCCUAUCAGCUUGUUGGUGAGGUAAUGGCUCACCAAGGCGACGACGGGUAGCCGGCCUGAGAGGGUGACCGGCCACACUGGGACUGAGACACGGCCCAGACUCCUACGGGAGGCAGCAGUGGGGAAUAUUGCACAAUGGGCGCAAGCCUGAUGCAGCGACGCCGCGUGAGGGAUGACGGCCUUCGGGUUGUAAACCUCUUUCAGUAGGGAAGAAGCGAAAGUGACGGUACCUGCAGAAGAAGCGCCGGCUAACUACGUGCCAGCAGCCGCGGUAAUACGUAGGGCGCAAGCGUUAUCCGGAAUUAUUGGGCGUAAAGAGCUCGUAGGCGGUUUGUCGCGUCUGCCGUGAAAGUCCGGGGCUCAACUCCGGAUCUGCGGUGGGUACGGGCAGACUAGAGUGAUGUAGGGGAGACUGGAAUUCCUGGUGUAGCGGUGAAAUGCGCAGAUAUCAGGAGGAACACCGAUGGCGAAGGCAGGUCUCUGGGCAUUAACUGACGCUGAGGAGCGAAAGCAUGGGGAGCGAACAGGAUUAGAUACCCUGGUAGUCC
rnacentral:rRNA from 1 species